AACGUACGCUGGCGGCACGCCUAACACAUGCAAGUCGAACGAAGUAGCAAUACUUAGUGGCAGACGGGUGAGUAACAUGUGGGUAUCUGCCCUUUGGCCUGGAAUAACACGAGGAAACUUGUGCUAAUACCGGAUAAGUCUUUACGGAGAAAGCUUUAUGCACCAUUGGAUGAGCCCGCACUUGAUUAGCUUGUUGGUGGGGUAAUGGCCCACCAAGGCGACGAUCUUUAGCUGGUCUGAGAGGAUGAUCAGUCACACUGGAACUGAGACACGGUCCAGACUCCUACGGGAGGCAGCAGUCGGGAAUAUUGGACAAUGGGGGAAACCCUGAUCCAGCCAUGCCGCGUGUGUGAAGAAGGCCCUAGGGUUGUAAAGCUCUUUCGUCGGGGAAGAAAAUGACUGUACCCGAAUAAGAAGGUCCGGCUAACUUCG
rnacentral:rRNA from 1 species